rnacentral:antisense_RNA from 1 species
AAAAUUUAAAAAUGGCAGAGUUACAAAAAAUAUUUUUAAAUUUUAUUUAUUUGAUUUUAGGUUUUGGGAAAUUUGAAAUAGAAAUGGUGGCCCCGAAUGGACUCGAACCAUCGACCACUACCA